rnacentral:tRNA from 1 species
GGGGAUGUAGCUCAGUGGUAGAGCCCUUGCCUAGCAUGCAUGAGGCGCUGGGUUCCAUGCCCAGCACUGCCA